GCGCGCGCACAGCUUCUCUGCCAAGUGUGAGAGUGACUCGUGGAAACUUCACCUCUCUCACCAUUGCUCUUACUUCGACGUCCACAAACCACCAAAGUGUUUUCUGUGUGUGCCUCGUGCUCCCCUAAGGCCAUGCCUAACAAGGGAAACAACAAACGACCCAAGGGUUGUAUGCCGGACAAGAAGCCAAGCCAAGACCGAAUUAAGAGUCAGCCGAAGGAGCAGAAGGAAGAGAAACCGAAAGAAAAAGAAAAAAAAUAAAGGUGACGCCAACUCAGCUGGCCUGUCAUCCAACGGGUACCAACUUUCCAACGUUCGUCUCCGCUCUUUCGUCUCAACAUGCGCCAUAGCCUCUCCUCCUCCCUCCUUCGCCGUCAUCGUCUCUCGACUCUCCAGGUGACUCCAGGGCUCACCUCCGAGCGCCUCACCUCAGCGUGUCGUUCUGCCUCCCACCGGCGGUUCGACACUUCCAGGUUACACACCCUACCUCCCCUCCGUACUUCUAGACUAGAGCUUCAAGGUUCCAGAAUGCACUAGAGCUGUCCACGGCCCACCAUACUCUCCUCCUUAAUCUCCCUUUACAUCUACAACCAUAUUUCCCUUGCAUCCACCUCAUCUCAUCGCCUCUCGUGAGGGAUGGCUCCCUUCUCUUUGUACUUCAUGGCUCUAGACAAUCCUCUGCAGCUCCCACGCGCAUUCCGACUUCGUGCCCUGAGAACAAACGGGAGCUGCAGACGUCAAGCUAAAACCCUUUUUUUCUAAAAAUCCCGGCCUGUUGACCGUGCAACAACGCCGCCAUCUUCCCUCUCGGCCACUUCGCUCUUCUCAGGGCCGCUUCGUCCUCUCCUUCUGAGCUCAUUCAUGGCAGCGCUCAUGACGUUCUCUCCGGAUGACCUCGUGGCUGCAUCCCCGACCCCCCCCCCCCCCCCUCCCCAGAGGUGCCACAGCAACAGCCCCAAAUCCUUCCCCCUCUCCGGGAAUUUCCAGAAAGACUGCGAGAUUAUCUGGAAACUUCCUGCCCCCCCCCCACGCCCCCUCCCCGCCGCUUCCUGGAUCACCCUCGCGCGGCCCUCGACGUCCAUCUCGCCCGCUCGACCUCUUCUCAGACUGCCUCCUCGCCCUCCCCUCCCCCCUCCUGCCCCACCUCCUGACCUCGUCUGUGCACCCACGUUGCCAGUGCUUGCUUCCAGUGCCAUAUUUUUCAGACAACGAAUGUGUUUUGUUGUCGAAUUUACAAUCUCUUGAGAGAAAUGUAUUUUUGGAUAUAAUUAUUUAGCAGGAAGGAAAAAAAAGAAUAUUUGAUACUGUAUAUCUUGGUUAACGAUUAUUUUCUACAUACAUUUAUAUACAUAUAUUUUGCAGAUCUCUGACAUUUCAGAAACUAAUCUUUUCUGUGUAUAUUUAUUUUUUCAUCUAUUUUGUACUAAUUUUCAUGUAACAUUUUCCGUAGAUCUCUUAGUUAAAUUCCUCCUUAUUCCCAGUCUCAUACCCUACCCCGUAAGCAGGCCUAUUUUUUCAUGGAUAAAAUCCAAAAUCUCCUUACGUAUCAUACCUUCCAUUGUCUCCCUUUUUUUGCGUGUUUUUCUUCUCUCGUUAACCUUUCUUUCUGUCUUUCUCAUCGCGAGCCGGCCACUCUGCUCUCCAAGUGGCUCUCCGCUUGGCUUGGAGACUCCUUCACUCCUUAAUUGUGUCUGCCUCGCGACUUUAGCCCUGGGUGCUCCUAACAGCCCCCCUCGGCACCUCUCACCCAGCACUUCUUUGCAGAUUCGCCCCACUCGGGUCACAUCUCAUUACUCUAAACUUCUUUACUCUUUAGCAGUAGUCCCUGGUUAUGACGUCACGCUCCAAAUGAUACCUUCCCUUCACUUUCUCACGCUGCCUCUCCAUUGCUUUGUUAUAUUUCAAAAUUUCACCCUUCCCCCAUUUCUUCCUUUCUGCCAGUUCCUCUUUGUUCCUAAAUUAGUCUCCCCUCAGUUAUUUAUAUCCGACUCUUAAUUACGGUGUUUAUCUGUAUCACAUCUCGACACUGAUCUUAAUUCACACUACUCUUCGCCUGUUCUUUCCCCCUUGAUCUGAUUAAAAACGCAAAAUGAAAAAUUCACUUACGUAUACUUACACACACACACACACACACACACACACACACACACACACACACACACACACACACACACACACACACACACACACACACACACACACACACACACACACACACUCACAUGCAUUACUCGCUCCCCCUCUCAUUAUUGAACUUCCCUAUGUUGCCCUACAGUCCCAUGUUACUCUGUGCCCUUCACAUUCCCUCUCACAUUCCUGGCCUGCUGCAGCGUAUAUCAAUCUCAAUAUCUUUUAACGCGCACUUCGUACCUUCGGAUUCUUCGUUGCCAGGCAUUCAUUCGUCUGGCACGUGUGAAUGUUUACACAACAUUCAAGGACUGGUUGAUUAAAUUAGGUUUAUUUCAGGUACACGAAGGAUUAACAUGAUAUAUUCAAUAUGAUAGCAUAAUUACAUCUCAGAUAGUUUAAUUACUAUGCUACAGUGCUACCAACUGUAACUCCGGAUUUUAAUUAAGAAUUAAGCCAAACAGUGUUAGUAUACGCAAGAUAAAGUUACACUAACACAUGCAGCAAAAUACACCGCCAUAUACACAGCACAGACAACUGUAUAAUCGCGCGCAGUUCACGUUUGGCCCGGCACACACAACAAGCACACUUAACAUACAUUUCCUUUCCGCUCAGAACAAAGCUCUCGCACUCGCCAGGGAUUUGAGCGCUUCCCCUCCCUCCUUCCCUCCCUCCCUCCCGCCCCUUCCCCUCUUCGCCUCCUCUUUUCAUCUCUGGACCUCGUCCUCUUAUUCUCCUCCUUAUUUGCUUUUCUUUUUCUUUUUGUUCUUCACGGAGGCUUAGCCUCGAUCUGGCAUCGGUUUCUCACUCUCUAUUUUCUCAUUUCUUAUUUCUUUUUCAUCUUAUUUCUUUUUCAUCCCUUUUCCUCCGCACCCCGUCCCUAGUCUGCCAGCCGCUCCCCUAAAUGGCAUUACCCAUCGUAAACUUUCUUCCAACCCAUAAUCCUAAUGGUAUAUCCUGACCCUCUAUCGCUGUGUCCACAUCUUUUUUGCGUUAUACUAAGUGCUCGACGCAGGCCAUUGUCCCGGUGUCAUCAGAUUACACUCUUUUACACACUUAUUAUCGUAUCAUUUCUUAUACAAUAUCUAUCGUUUCGUUUUUCUUCAUUUAACUCCUAUAUUAUGUUGUUCUACAUUCUUAUCAACAUCCUUACGGGCCGUUGCUUGCAUUUGCAUGUUUUUUUUUCCCUUAUCAUUUGGCUCUCUCUUCCUUUCAUUUAUGUAAUUUGUCACCUUAGUCUUGGAAAUAUUAGUUUAUGUCCUUGCACAUUAUAUUUUAACAAUUGUAAAAUGUGUUUUAAGUAUAGAGGUAUGCAAAUGUGUUCAUAGUUUAUGUAAUGUAGAUUGUUAGAUUACUUCAGUUCAUAAAUCAAAUUAGCUUCAUUUAUUGAUUUACUUAUGAACCGCAUCAACUAACAACCGCCACUCUCUUUUCGCUCCUCGUUUUGGUACCUUCGACGAGUGCAAAAUACAUAUUUGCUCCAAACGAAAAAUUUGUAUCUAUGUCACGGCUUUUACAGGUCUGUAGAAGUUAGAUUUUUACUACAGUUUAAACCCGAAACCCCCUUUUUCGAAAUUUCUGUGACUCCUGCGCCUUACCCUACUGUUUGUACCGUAGUAAAUGAUUUACUUCGUUAACAUGGCAGGAGGUUCAUCGUCGGAGCUACAGUUGGUGCAAUACUCCACCUAGUAAUCAUUCAAAGAUCUACCCUUCUGUGUGCAUUUAACUCGUGUAGCCCAUAAGUCACAGCGUGAGUGCGUUUGACAGUCACCCAUCACUAUGUAUAUCGAAGAGUAUUGCAUCAACGCGCCUCCACAUAAGUUUGUAUCAACGUUUGUGUAUAACUGUAUGUGAAGCUGGUAAUACCUUUAAAAACAAAAGACUCGCGCAACCCGUAACGUUGGCCGAUGAUUCUGCACCAAACAGUAACGAAUAAAGUAAAAUAAACAAACUUUUUAUGCAUUAAUACCAUUUUUUUUUUUAGGGAUUUGAGGCUUCAUCCUUACUGGUUGUGGUGUAGGAAAUGUUGUAUUUUACAUUGUUGCCUUAAGGAAUAGCAAACGUGUUAUAAUCAAUGUUUUAUUUUCCACGUAUAGCUUAGAUGUUUUUUAGCUGUCAAGGAUAUGCGGAUGGACCAGGCGAACCCCAGGCUGUUAUUGGGGGUUCAAGGGGUUUAGCGAUUAAAGAUAAUGAUUCAGAGGAUUGACGGUUCUUCCUUUCACGGGGAUUGACGUAAGGGUUAUUUUGCUAGUCAGGCUAAAUAGAAAUUAAUCCUUAUUGAAGCCCCCCCGAAGGACGAUUUUUUAAGUCAGCCAGCUGGUCAGUUCGCAUAUUCCUCUACUGAGCCCAAAUUAUGUUUAGAUAGCUGUUUUAGAUAUAUAAUCCAGCAUUUACUCAAACCUUACACCAUUUAGAGACAUAUAACAACCACCAUCCCUGAAAGAAACCUAUAACACCAGUAAAGACUGAAAUUAUUUUUGAUGGAAACUUGAUUUGUAGAUAUUUUCGCAUGGUUACUACCCUGAAUAAAUAAAGCUUGUGAAUAAAAUAUAGGAAAACGGUUGGCCUUCCGUAAAGUAAGUCGAUUAAACAAGAAACUAUACAAAUAACAAUUUACAAAAUCUAAUUGUAGUUAAAGCAUUCAUUUAUUUUUCUUUAAUUUUCAUCGAAUAUGUAUUUAUAACAAAGUCAAAUGGAAGACAAGGAUAUUUUAAUGGUUUCGUUCAUUUUUUUCACACUAGAAAUGAGAGAUUAGAAAAAAAAAAGUCGACAUCAAGAUCUAUAAUUAAAAAAAAAAAUUUUUGGUAAAACUCAACAUCUGAUCGCUUUUGGUUUUUUUCCGUUUUCUGUUUUUUUUUUAUGUUUUCUUUUCGGUCCGUUCCUUUCAUUAUCUUGGACGGAAUUAGAUCUUCCAUAUCAGUGCCUCACCAUUCAGUGAUCCUACUCGUCAUUAACCAGUUCCUAAGUGACGAAUUAAUCUUUUGAAGAUAAAAUAUGAAUAAAAUUAAGUCAGAUAACAAAUAAAUGGCUGUAACAAUUUAUACAAAGUGCCAGCAGGGGGAAUCUUUCACAACAAACAUUAAUGUACUUUGUAGGCUUAUCAAGAAGGUGACUUGUAUGUCCUGCCCCCAUUCUUCUACCUAAAUGUGGCCAGGCAUUCUGAAAAGAAAGAAAGAAAAAUGCUUAAGAGCGGUAUCUUAUGCUUUAUUGGGCAGAGAGAUCAAUUGGUGUUUUAUUUGCUUGCACAUUGUGAAGGUUGUAAUAAUCGUGAAUGCCGCUUUUUUUUUGAGUAAGCUGCGAGUGAAAAAGUGAGGUUUCAAGACUAAUAAAAAGACAUUUAAUAUGGAUCAGUUAUUAAACAAACCUAUUGCAUACUGAGUGUUACGAAUAAAACAUUGUAAUUGA